rnacentral:rRNA from 1 species
AGUGAACGCUGGCGGUAGGCCUAACACAUGCAAGUCGAACGGCAGCACAGUAAGAGCUUGCUCUUACGGGUGGCGAGUGGCGGACGGGUGAGGAAUACAUCGGAAUCUACUUUUUCGUGGGGGAUAACGUAGGGAAACUUACGCUAAUACCGCAUACGACCUACGGGUGAAAGCAGGGGAUCUUCGGACCUUGCGCGAUUGAAUGAGCCGAUGUCGGAUUAGCUAGUUGGCGGGGUAAAGGCCCACCAAGGCGACGAUCCGUAGCUGGUCCGAGAGGAUGAUCAGCCACACUGGAACUGAGACACGGUCCAGACUCCUACGGGAGGCAACAGUGGGGAAUAUUGGACAAUGGGCGCAAGCCUGAUCCAGCCAUACCGCGUGGGUGAAGAAGGCCUUCGGGUUGUAAAGCCCUUUUGUUGGGAAAGAAAAGCAGCAGGUUAAUACCCCGCUGUUCUGACGGUACCCAAAGAAUAAGCACCGGCUAACUUCGUG